GAUGAACGCUGGCGGCGUGCCUAACACAUGCAAGUCGGACGGAGAUUCCGGACGGAAGUUUUCGGAUGGAAGACUGUAAUUCUUAGUGGCGGACGGGUGAGUAACGCGUGGGCAACCUGCCCUAUACAGGGGGAUAGCAGCUGGAAACGGCUGGUAAGACCGCAUAAGUCGGUUAAAUCGCAUGAUUUGAUCGGGAAAUGAGCAAUCAGGUAUAGGAUGGGCCCGCGUCCGAUUAGCCAGUUGGCAGGGUAAAAGCCUACCAAAGCGACGAUCGGUAGCCGGACUGAGAGGUCGGACGGCCACAUUGGGACUGAGACACGGCCCAAACUCCUACGGGAGGCAGCAGUGGGGGAUAUUGCACAAUGGAGGAAACUCUGAUGCAGCGACGCCGCGUGAGUGAAGAAGUAUUUCGGUAUGUAAAGCUCUAUCAGCAGGGAAGAUGAUGACGGUACCUGACUAAGAAGCCCCGGCUAACUACGUG
rnacentral:rRNA from 1 species